CCUAGCCCCGAUCGGCGAUCGAAGAUUCCGCUUCUCCGCCGCCGUCGACCUUGCCGUCGUUUGAGGUAAGCCUCCUACUCCUCCUCCUCCUCCUCCUCCUUGUUUUCUUCUUGUCUUUAACUCUCUUCCGGCCCCGUCUCCUCAUCCUCUGCCGGUCGAUGCCCUAGUUGCGCGCCGACAGCUCACCUCCAUCCUGAGCGAGCUCUAGCUACUCCGUCGCCGUCGACAUCGCCGUCGUCUGAGGUAAGUGAUCCUCAUACUCUCCGUCUUGAUCCUCAUACACAUUUUCCUGUUAUUGGGGUUAGGCAAAACAAUGAACAAUUGAAGAGAGAGCGCUGAGCAGCAGAUGAGAAAGCAAAGGGAUUUUGGAUGGUAGACUAGUAGUAUUUCUAGACUAGAUUUCUUGUAUCUUCUUCUCUCUAUUUCCCCUCCAUUCCUUUCCUUUUCCAUGCCUAGACUCCUCUUUUUUGAGCUUGCAUUUGCAAAGAGUGGUGUUAGAUUCACCUUUAGCAGAGUGUACCAGUUGACUGGCUCAAAAAUCCUGAUAGGCAUCGUAUUUGGUGCGUAUCCCAUGUGUCUGAUAAGUGCUUUAGGGUUUAGGAAACAACAAAGACCUGGUUUCAGUUCUGAAGAUUGUGGUGGAGAUGAAAUCAUUGCCUGAUCUUGUUAUUGAUAGAACUGCAUAUACUGCAAUGGUUGAUGCAUUGCUGGCUUGUGGGUCGACCAAGGGUAAUAUGUGUAACUUCUGAAGUGUUACCGUUGGCCUCUUUAAUAAUGAUAUUUUUUUUCAUUCUUUCUUUUACUAUCAAAUUUUAACUUAACCAUUGCAUACAUAAAUUCAGCUUGUUGAGCUUGAGGGUACAAGAUAUUAUUAGUUAAUUGUCUAAAAUCUAUUUUCUGUGAUUAUGAAUGGAAUCAGAAAUUGUUAGAGUUUGUAUAGAAGAGUAAGGCUGUCAGUUUGUUUACAAUAUACAUUAUUUGUUUAUGUAGAUAAAUGAAUCUAUUUCUAUAAAGUAUGAAUACAAGAAUUGGAAAGAGGAACUUCAAAGAUUACUUCAACUUUUACAGUUCCAUGAACUUGACGACUACUCAUGAGAUGAAUUCAUCAACACAAGGAAAUGUGGACUUAUAGCAGCCAACAAAUAAAUAAAGUGAUCGUUCAUCUUAGGAACGACUGACUUGAAACAUUAGCAUGCCACUGCAACUUGAUCAUUUACUCAAUCAAAUUUGUCAACAACAGCCACUUAAACACCAAAGCAGAACUCGAUUGAAGCAUGAAGGUUUAAACACUAGGAAGCCAUAAUAUGUUUAACUGUACAAAUAUUCUCUCAAACAUCUAAAUCACUAUUUAAUUUUUUAAUUCUUUUAUUGUUGAUUUAACGCUGGAAUAGAAACUAAGUGCAUAAUUAGAUACAUAAGAUUAAAUCUAACAUAAUGCAAUCCACAUAACAUAGAAUAUGUUGUAUAAUUCUCUUAUUUCUUCAUUAAUUUGAUAGUUUAUAAACUUAUAACUGUUUCUCAUAGAAACUAUGUAACUUUUAAAAUUCUAUAAAUACUUACUUUAAAAUUGAGAGCUCUUAGAAACCAUUUAAGUGUUUUGGAACCAUGUUCUGAAAGCAAAAGCCUGUAAUGAUAUGCCUUCAUUUUCAGUGCUUAAGAGUAAUCCUGUAACCAGUUGAUUUCCUAAAGCUUCUACAAGUUGAGGAGGAGCAAGAUGAGGCUACUGAUUUGGUUAGCAUCCAACAGCAUGUGCUUCUGAAUGAGGGCAUAGACAGGGUGACUUGGAUAUGGGAUCUUCCUUGUGAAAGGUUUCUAUGAUUCUUUUUUUUUUUCCCACUGUGGAGGGAUCUGUUCCUCCUAUUUUUUAUGCUACUUGGAGGAGUGCAAUUCUGAAGAAGCUUAGAGAUAUUGGGAGGCUGUUGUUGAUUAAAAAGCUAUUAACAGUGGAGAAUCAAACAAAGAGGAACUGGAACUUGCCUUUGAGAUGUGUUCUGUGCUGAGCAUUAGGAAAUCGUGGGCUAUUUGUUCAUCAGUUGGAGAAUGUUGGCAGGUUCUUAAGCAUUUCUGGCAUUUCUAUACAUUUGCUUAAUGUAUAGAAAUUACUUCUAUACAUUGAAUUAUUAGCAAUUUAUUUAGAUUUUAUUUAUUAUUUAACUAAUAUUGCUUCUUUUUGUGCAUACUAAGUAACAACAUGCCGUGAGGAAAAUGAUUCAGAGAUGUUGAGUUUCAGCACACAUCCGUAGGAUCUUCUUUCGAUCAGUCCCCACGGUCUCAGCAGCCCAACGAGCCCCAUCAGCACGAGUCUCAGUCUGAGCACGUGCCACCUGCUAAUUGUCCAGACAUGGAUGACGUGCAUAUCCAGGGUAAUUUGAUUUAUAUUUUUUAUAUUAAUUUUUCUUACAAUCCAUGGAUAUUUUAUUUUAUUUUUAUAGAUGGACUGGGGAGAGUGAGGAGGACACGAGGACCCACUCGAGCACAGGACGUGUGGAGUCUACGUGAGGAUGAGAAGAUCGUCGUUCAAUGCAAUGAACUGGGGCAGCCUAUCAAGAGGAAGCAAGCAUUUUAUCGACUUUUCUAGGAUCGGUUGCACGGAAGGGUCAGUUGUGUCUGCUCAACUAUACGAAAUGGAAUGAAAUGCUUCCUUCGUAUAAGGUUGAGCUUUUUAAAGUUAUUGAGAAAAAGUUUGUCCUUCCUGCAAAUAGCCAUAAUUGGGUGUUGAAGUCCGUCAACCGCAAAUGGAAAGAAUAUAAGGCGAACUAAAGACGGACUGGAAGCACGUGGGCAUGACUGAAGAGGAGGUGGCUCGUGUUUGCCCUCCUGAUGUAAUCCCUCAUCAAUGGAGGGAGCUUGUCCACUACUGAUUUUCAGAGAAAGCUCAGACAUAUUUCAACAUUGGUAGAGCUGCACGAGCCUCUCAG